rnacentral:rRNA from 1 species
UACGUAGGGUCCGAGCGUUGUCCGGAAUUACUGGGCGUAAAGCGCGCGCAGGCGGCCCGCGAGGUGUCACGUGAAAGCCCCGGGCUCAACCCGGGAGGGUCGUGGCAAACCGGCGGGCUUGAGGCCGGUAGAGGUGGGUGGAACUCCUGGUGGAGUGGUGAAAUGCGUAGAGAUCAGGAAGAACACCUGUGGCGAAGGCGGCCCACUGGGCCGGUACUGACGCUGAGGCGCGAAGGCGUGGGGAGCGAACGGG